rnacentral:pre_miRNA from 1 species
ACCACCUGAGUGUCUUGUUAGAAUGCAGGUUCUGAUCCAGUAGGACUGGGGUAGGCCCAAGAUUCUGCAUUUCUGACAAGCCCCCAGGUGAUGCCCA